rnacentral:rRNA from 1 species
UACGUAGGGACCGAGCGUUGUCCGGAAUUAUUGGGCGUAAAGAGCUCGUAGGCGGUUUGUCGCGUCUGCCGUGAAAGUCCGGGGCUUAACCCCGGAUCUGCGGUGGGUACGGGCAGACUAGAGUGAUGUAGGGGAGACUGGAAUUCCUGGUGUAGCGGUGAAAUGCGCAGAUAUCAGGAGGAACACCGGUGGCGAAGGCGGGUCUCUGGGCCGAUACUGACGCUGAGGAGCGAAAGCGUGGGGAGCGAACAGG